ensembl:lncRNA
CUGGAAUAUACUGACUGCUUCUUGUGGCCUUCAAUAAGACGUGGGGUCUCACAGUACAGAGACAACAUAUGGUUCAAGGUGGCCCUUUGAGAGCAGAAGAAAAAAAGAAAAUAUGGCUCUGCUAUGAGAAGCUGUCAUUGGCACCUGUGGUUUAUAAUCCAAAUUUUCUUGAGAUUAUGGUAAUCUGGAUCCUGGCAGGGAUGGAAAAGUCAUGCUGUGGUGUGUGAGCAAAGGUAAGUGUAGGUGCCAUAGUGGCACAUAAGACUGAGAUCCAUAGGCGGUCUGAAUCCCUGGACCACGCACAAAUAUCUCUUGAAAUAAACUCCCUUCCUGUAAAGGAAGACAAUCUCUUCUGUUGUAAGGAGGCAGCCAAGGUGUAGGCAGUGAGCAAAGGGCAGAUCGGUGGGGCCUCCCUUGCCCAAAGAACAGGCCCCAGGAGGUAGAGUGUGGAGGCAGAAGCUAUGAAAUUAAGGACUAGGGAAUAAGCAGAGCAAGGAGGUCUGUUGCUAGGAGACAAUUCUCAGACUUAAGACUUACUCAGCAAUACCUCUUGGCUGCUGUUAUCGGCACAUGGUAUUGACUGGGAGGUAAACAGACUGGAAAUCUAAGGUCUUUAGAGAGAGUUACAUUGUCAAGUCUGGCUGACAACGACCUUUGAUUACUCCAACCUAAGGCGAUGCCCAAGUUCUAACUGCUAACAUAGUAUAACAUAGUAGAAAAGAGAAGCCCUCUGCCAUGUCCACCUUAGAGGGGUCUUGAGAGGACAAUGGCCCAGGGAAAGCCUCCCACCGUGACUGGCUACCCAAGGAAUGUGCACACUGCCGCAAGAAGAUGCUAGGGACCACACGCCCGUGAUAGCAGCGCGGCUUUCCAGUUUUAUUGUUUUCCCAAUGGAAGGAGUAUGUUUUUGUUUGCUUGAUUUACUUUUUGCAACUCUCAUAUUUUUUCUCCAUAUGUGCGUUGAGACAUAGAUAGCUUAUCAUUUAACAAAUCAAGGCCUGAGACAUCAGCAGAUUCAUCAGCUUUGGAUGAAGAGAAUUUGGAGCCCUGAAAGAUGCUGGACUAGGAGCUGUAAGAAGCACCUGGGUGAAAUCUCAUACCUUGCUCUAGACAUGAGGGCAUCUUCCCAACCCAGGGAUUUGACCUGGGUCUCCUGAGAGACAUGUGUAUUAAUUACUCUGAUCAGCUUUGACAUGCAAAUGUGACAGAAUCGAAUAUUAAGAAAGAUCAGAGGCAGAUGGAAGAUUUUAGUCCAUCACGUCCAAUUCGCCCACUUAACUGCUGAGGAAGUUGAAGCCAAAAGAGAAGACAAGACCCACAGCCAGUUUCCUGGUUCAAAGUCACCCCACAGCAAAUCAACCUACAAGCACAGUGGUUUCCACAGCAGAAGCAGCCAGUUUCUCUCUCAUCCUCCAAAAGAGCUAAAGAACCAGCUUCCCAAUCAGGAAAUCUCGCCUGCAACAGAUGAGAGGCGGUGGAGAUUCUGGUUCAGCCCUCUCUACCCUGACCUGGAACCCCACCACAGAGCACCCACCCCACCUACACGUGUCCCUGACAUGCAUCCUGCCCAGAGAGUUUCCUACCUAGAAACUACGGAUGGCUUUACUGCGCCGUGUCUCUUUUUAUGCCUACAUCUGUGUCAUCUCAGACUGGAAGCUCCCUAACAAGAUAUGUAUUAAAAAUAGAUAACCUUAACAAUAAUAAUAAUACAUUGAGAAUGUACUCUGUUCCCGGCUCUGCGCCAAGCAUGUUCUGGGCACUGUGACCCCAGGUCUGCUGUCGGCCGACCUGGCCUCCUCAAGCUCCUCCCACCCUGCCCACCUGAGCCACCUGGG